GGUUGUAUAGUGUAGUGGUUAUCACUCCAGAUUUUGAUUCUGGUAACCCCGGUUCGAACCCGGGUACGACCU
rnacentral:tRNA from 1 species